GACGAACGCUGGCGGCGUGCCUAAUACAUGCAAGUUGAGCGAUGAAGAUUGGUGCUUGCACCAAUUUGAAGAGCAGCGAACGGGUGAGUAACGCGUGGGGAAUCUGCCUUUGAGCGGGGGACAACAUUUGGAAACGAAUGCUAAUACCGCAUAACAACUUUAAACAUAAGUUUUAAGUUUGAAAGAUGCAAUUGCAUCACUCAAAGAUGAUCCCGCGUUGUAUUAGCUAGUUGGUGAGGUAAAGGCUCACCAAGGCGAUGAUACAUAGCCGACCUGAGAGGGUGAUCGGCCACAUUGGGACUGGGACACGGCCCAAACUCCUACGGGAGGCAGCAGUAGGGAAUCUUCGGCAAUGGACGAAAGUCUGACCGAGCAACGCCGCGGGAGUGAAGAAGGUUUUCGGAUCGUAAAACUCUGUUGGUAGAGAAGAACGUUGGGGAGAGUGGAAAGCUCAUCAAGUGACGGUAACUACCCAGAAAGGGACGGCUAACUACGUG
rnacentral:rRNA from 1 species